AGAUCUUCAAAGGGAAAGUGUGUACUUGAGUUAACAGUCUGAGGUCAGUCAUAUUAGAGUUAGAGUCGGGUUUAGUGAGCAUAAGUGCUUGGGUUCUUAUGUUUUUGUUGUCUUGAGUCAAGCAUGGGUUAAAUGCUUAGGUAAUUGAUUGUUUCUCAACCGAAACAAUGUGCCCUAUAGUGCUUCAGUGAGUAGGACAGUUAGCCCCUAGAGCUUUGGUCGAACUGGGUCGACGAGUGUCUCCGAAUUUUCUCAGAGGCAUCGGUCCGAGGAGGAUGGAUUUGAGGAGAAUNNNNNNNNNNNNNNNNNNNNNNNGAAGUUAGAUUAUUGAUUAGAAGUGCAUUGGACGUGGUCACUCGGAGAUGUUGAGUGUGGACGAGUGGACAUCAUUCUUGUAAAGGAUUUCAAGUAAGGACUUGAUUCGGGGAACUUUUUAAAGAAAAUAUUGGAUGUUUGCUACGGUGAGUUCGGGAUGAGACUUGAUGAAGUCAUUUGGUUGUCA
rnacentral:lncRNA from 1 species